GGUGAGAUGGCCGAGCGGUCUAAGGCGCUAGACUAAGGAGUGGGAUUUGAACCCGCUUUGGCAUCUAGUCUCUCUCCGAGGCGUGGGUUCGAAUCCCACUCUCAUCA